rnacentral:rRNA from 1 species
GACGAACGCUGGCGGCGUGCUUAACACAUGCAAGUCGAACGGAAAGGCCCUGCUUUUGUGUGGUGCUCGAGUGGCGAACGGGUGAGUAACACGUGAGUAACCUGCCCUGUACUUGGGGAUAACUUCAGGAAACGGGGGCUAAUACCGGAUAGGAGCUCCUGCUGCAUGGUGUUGGUUGGAAAGUUUCGGCGGUUGGGGAUGGACUCGCGGCUUAUCAGCUUGUUGGUGGGGUAGUGGCUUACCAAGGCUUUGACGGGUAGCCGGCCUGAGAGGGUGACCGGCCACAUUGGGACUGAGAUACGGGCCAGACUCCUACGGGAGGCAGCAGUGGGGAAUAUUGCACAAUGGGCGGAAGCCUGAUGCAGCAACGCCGCGUGCGGGAUGACGGCCUUCGGGUUGUAAACCGCUUUCGCCUGUGACGAAGCGUGAGUGACGGUAAUGGGUAAAGAAGCACCGGCUAACUACGUG